rnacentral:lncRNA from 1 species
UGAAUAUUAAUAGUUCAAUACAAAUUAACAGUCCAACGGCCAGUGUUCAAAUGAAUACAAAUUAAAAAAAACAAAACAAAACUACACUAAACAAGCAAAUCAGUAGCGUCUAUCCAACUGGAGUCAUACAACAAUCCAAACGAGCAUGCAUAAGAAAGCAGGCUGGUAAAUGUAAUUUAUUCCAUUUCAAAUUCACAGCUACAUCAACGCAGUUUAGUAUAUGUACCUGAAUUAAGGCAAAGAUGAAACACCUAUGAGUAGGUAAACAAUAUACAAUAACAACAACAAAUUCACAGCAAUAAACCAAGCUCGAAACCCAGAAUCGAACAGAAGAAUUUAUCAAAUAAACCAGGACAUGAUGUAAAGCCAGCAACACCUGUGAACCAACCAAAACAGCCUCGUUUUAAACCCAAACAUACUCGAAAUUUAGCCCACAAACUUCUGAAGGUUUACACCUCAAACACAUGUCUUUCUGGUCGUUUUCAUCUUAUGUAGCUAGAAAUUCAAAUUGAUGCUGAGAACUAGAACUAAUCUGAGGAAAAUACUCCAAUGGAACAGUAUUUGUUUUUUGAGAUUUUUUUGGAGAUUUAGGAUUCAAAUUUUCCAGAGAUUUUCAGGGGCUAACCGGUGGGAAUUUCUCAAAGUCUAACCUCUUUGGGAAGUUUUUAGGGAUCAAAAGACUUAUGGGAAUUUUCAGAGUUCCAACCUUGUGAAAGAAGGAAUUGGUAUGACUUUUUAUAGGCAAAACUUUAGGGAAACCCUUUCUAUUUUAUUUUACCCUAAGUCCUCCCUUAUUAUCAGAUUUUACUCAAUUAGUC